rnacentral:rRNA from 1 species
UCUAAAGGGUCCGUAGCCGGUUUAAUCAGUCUUCUGGGAAAUCUAAUCGCUUAACUAUUAGGCUUCCAGGGGAUACUGUUAGACUUGGGACCGGGAGAGGUAAGAGGUACUGCAGGGGUAGGAGUGAAAUCUUGUAAUCCCUGUGAGACCACCAGUGGCGAAGGCGUCUUACCAGAACGGGUCCGACGGUGAGGGACGAAAGCUGGGGGCACGAACCGGAUUAGAUACCCGGGUAGUCCCAGCUGUAAACGAUGCUCGUUAGGUGUCAGGAACGGUGCGACUGUUUCUGGUGCCGAAGGGAAGCCGUGAAACGAGCCACCUGGGAAGUACGGCCGCAAGGCUGAAACUUAAAGGAAUUGGCGGGGGAGCACUACAACGGGUGGAGCCUGCGGUUUAAUUGGACUCAACGCCGGAAAACUCACCGGGGGCGACAGCAAUAUGUAGGUCAGGUUAAAGGUCUUACCUGAAUCGCUGAGAGGAGGUGCAUGGCCGUCGUCAGUUCGUACUGUGAAGCAUCCUGUUAAGUCAGGCAACGAGCAAGACCCGUGCCCACUGUUACCAGCAUAUCCUUUAUGGAUGAUGGGGACUCUGUGGGGACCGCUGCUGCUAAAGCAGAGGAAGGUGCGGGCUACGGUAGGUCAGUAUGCCCCGAAUCUCCCGGGCUACACGCGGGCUACAAUGGUUGGGACAAUGGGUAUCUACUCCGAAAGGAGUUGGCAAUCUCUUAAACCCAAUCGUAGUUCGAAUUGAGGGCUGUAACUCGCCCUCAUGAAGCUGGAAUCCGUAGUAAUCGCGUUUCAACAUAGCGCGGU